CGCAUGGAAGAUAUUUUUCUUAUUGCAUGGAAGAAUUGGCAUGAAUAUUUAACUACUGCUCAUUGAUAUAUUUUCUUGUCGUCAUGUAAGAUUUGAAAGCCAUAUCCACCUAUUGUUUCCUGGUCCUCUAUCUUAUGGAUACUACUUAGCUCUCUAUCUUAGGGAUGUCGUUAGCUAGAUGCAAAUUGCUAUAUCUUUUUUAGGGGACAAACCACCUUAUAUCGAAGUUUAGUAUCAUAUAGAACUUUUAUGGUUGGCAUCAUGGGAAUUGAAAGCCCCCAUGUUCUCGUGUGGAUGAUUCCCAUGUUGAUGGCCUUGUUGCAUCGAGAGCCCUGAGCUAUUUCAACAUUCAAGGAACAUGGCGUGGACUUGAUUUUCACUGAAUAUUGCAUGGCUUAUAUGACAUGUUAUGAUUUUCUUAGAUAAGUGAAAGUAUGUACUUUUGGGGACAUUUCUAAUCUUCAUCGUGGCA